UACGGGGGGGGCAAUGCGUUGUUCGGAAUUACUGGGCGUAAAGGGCUCGUAGGCGGCCAACUAAGUCAGACGUGAAAUCCCUCGGCUUAACCGGGGGAACUGCGUCGUGAUACUGGAUGGCUUGGAGGUUGGGAGAGGGAUGCGGCAAUUCCAGGUGUAGCGGUGAAAUGCGUAGAUAUCUGGAGGAACACCCGGUGGCGAAGGCGGCAUCCUGGACCAAUUCUGACGCUGAGGAGCGAAAGCCAGGGGAGCAAAACGGG
rnacentral:rRNA from 1 species